rnacentral:misc_RNA from 1 species
GUAAUAACACAAUCAAACAAAAUUUUGUUAGAUGUACAUAUGUGUAUGGUAAUCUCCCAGAAAAAUAAAGGGCUUAAAGAUUGCCUAAACAAAUCCAUUUGGUCUCUCACCACUUCUGGCAGAUCUCUUCUGUAGAUCUGCGUCGUAAUGGGCAAAGGCAGCAUCCAAAGCCUGAAGCAUUGGCUGUACAAGAAGGGAAACUUGGUGUCUGACAUCUGAUUGCACAGAUUCCUUGAUCUCCUGCAACUUGGGAUAUAUCUGAGACAUUGCAUCCUUUAACCUAGUCACCUUGGCGUAGAAAUAUUUUGUCGUUAUCGGAUAAGAUGACCAGAAGUGCUUCAAUAAUUCCUGAAUUGAUGUCCAAUGAAGUAAUAGCUCAUUUUUAGUUGCACUAGGCAACUGAUCUAACACACUCUCAUGGGGAUUCUUUCCCAGAUGAUAUUUUGUACUUGAGAUAUUCUGACUUAGCAAGUUGAAAACCUUGAGAGCUACUUCAGGACUAAUUAUUGGUUCAAUCAAACCUUGAGAAUUUAUCUCAGAAAUGGAGUCCUUCAAGGAGCAAAAGGCUUCUUCUUUGCUCACACGAAAUUUCAACUGUCUUAUCCCUGUUUCAGCAUCUCCCAAAGCCUUUAUUGCAUUUGCUUGCUGAGAAUCAAAGUAGUCUCGGGGAUCCUUGAUACUUAGCAAUGCAACUGGUGGGUCUCGAGGUCCCUGAAGAUCCUCAAUCUCAGCUACUCGAGAAACUUUUUUUACGCGUUCUCUAUAUGCAUUCUCAUCAGACACUUCAGUAGCUUGUUCAGCCUGAUUUGUCCUGGUGAAAGCUUCAGCAACAGAUCUUGUGUCACCCAGCUCAACAUCUAUAACUCUUCCUUGAAGAACCACUGCUGCAUGCUGAUUGAGGUAUUGUGAGAAAGACCUUUUGAAUGGUUCAUACUGUGGUUCUAGAAUCUCCUUAGUUUCACCCUGAGGUAGUCCAUGAUCCGGGAGAUGCAUAUAAUCAUCACCUUCAUCUGCUUCCAUGUCCAGAGUUGGAUCCACUCUUCUGAUCUUCCUCCGAGCUUCAGAUACUAACAUAUCAUCUUGCUUCAAGAAAACUGCAAGCUCCUCAUCUUCAGCAGCCUCCGCAGCAGCUGCAACAAUGUUUUUUGUACUGUGGAGGUAUUCAGCUCUUGAAUAUUUAGUCCAGAAUUCUUUUUCUGACAUCUUGCCAGGAACAAACUUCAGAUAUGCUUGGCGGACAGCUGGUUUCUCCGCAAAAAUCUGAUGAAUAACCUCUGGAGUCAAGUUAAAUGUAACUCUGUUUGUCUGACCAUCAGAUAAUGGUUUUACACUCCACAUGUCAUUUUUUAAAGCUACUCGCUGUUUUGGCUUCUUAUUUUCACUCUGUUCCAGCAGCUUCUUCCUAGCGGCCCAAAAUUCAGUCUCUGAUAGAAUACCUGCAAUGACCAAUUCCCUGUGGAGAUUCUGCAACUCACUGUUCUCCUGCAGUAACUUAAUCCGACGCCCCAUUUCUGUUGCACUAAGUUGCUCAUCAUGUGGAACAGCAGGUUUUUCGGAAGUAGCUUUCCCUAUUUCCCCACAAGCUGCAAUUGCUGAGGCAACAAAGUCCCGACACUGGUCACGGUCAGGGAAGCUAUCAAAUUCGAAAAGAUAAUUUCCACCCUGAGCUUGUGUGAGAUUAAGUAGAGCCUGCUUACUUGAACACUCCUUGGAAGACUUGUGGCCUUUAAUCAACUUGAACUCCACAUUAAGCUUUGUAGUUAAUGUUGGGUCAUUCGGCAUAAAAUAAAACCGUUCCUUGGUCAAUUUCAAAACGCCAGGGACGCCAGGAACCUUGACUGAAGUUUUGUACUUGGCACGCUUAACCACCUUACCAUCGGCCAUACUGGGUGUUCAAAAAAUCGAAUAUUUUCACUAAUACAUCAACAAAAAAAAUUUUUAAAAAUGGGUAUUACGG